rnacentral:tRNA from 1 species
GGGGCGUUAGCUCAGUUGGUAAGAGCGGUUGACUUUUAAUCAAUUGGUCGCAGGUUCGAAUCCUGCACGACCCACCA